rnacentral:rRNA from 1 species
CUACGGGGUGCUGCAGUGAGGAAUUUUGCGCAAUGGGGGAAACCCUGACGCAGCAACGCCGCGUGAGCGAAGAAGGCCUUCGGGUCGUAAAGCUCUGUCAAGUGGGAAAAAAAUUCUUUGAUGAACAGUCAAAGGACUUGAUGGUACCACUGGAGGAAGCACCGGCUAACUCCGUGCCAGCAGCCGCGGUAAUACGGAGGGUGCAAGCGUUGUUCGGAAUUACUGGGCGUAAAGAGCGUGUAGGCGAUUUGACAAGUCAGAUGUGAAAGCCCCGGGCUCAACCCGGGAAGUGCAUUUGAACUGUUUCACUAGAGUAUGGGAGAGGAGAUUGGAAUUCCUGGUGUAGAGGUGAAAUUCGUAGAUAUCAGGAGGAACACCCGUGGCGAAGGCGAUUCUCUGGACCAAUACUGACGCUGAGACGCGAAAGCGUGGGGAGCAAACAGGAUUAGAUACCCCGGUAGUC